rnacentral:rRNA from 1 species
GAUGAACGCUGGCGGCGUGCCUAAUACAUGCAAGUCGAGCGAACAGACGAGGAGCUUGCUCCUCUGACGUUAGCGGCGGACGGGUGUGUAACACGUGUAUAACGUACCUAUAAUACUGGGAUAACCACGGGAAACCGGCGCUAAUACCGGAGAAUAUACUGAAGCGCAGGGUGGAAUAGUGAAAUACGGUUUUUCUGUCAGUUAUAGAUGGAUCCGCGCCGCAUUAGCUAGUUGUUAAGGUAACGGCUUACCAAGGCGACGAUGCGUAGCCGACCUGAGAGGGUGAUCGGCCACACUGGAGCGGAGACACGGUCCAGACUCCUACGGGAGGCAGCAGUAGGGAAUCUUACGCAGUGGGCGGAAGCCUGACGGAGCAGCGCCGCGUGAGUGAUGAAGGUCUUCGGAUCGUAAAGCUGUGUUAUUAGGGGAGAACAAAUGUGUAAGUAACCAUGCACGUAUUGACGGUACCUAGUCAGAAAGCCCCGGCUAACUACGUG